rnacentral:misc_RNA from 1 species
UCAAACUUGGUCAUUUAGAGGAAGUAAAAGUCGUAACAAGGUUUCCGUAGGUGAACCUGCGGAAGGAUCAUUACAGAGUUCAUGCCCUUCGGGGUAGAUCUCUCACCCUUGUGUAUUUAUACUUUGUUGCUUUGGCGGGGUGCCCAACUUAUUUAUUGUUGGGCCUCCUUUUGUGAGAGUCCCCCGCCAGAGGAUACUUAAAUUCUGAUUUAUCAGUGUUGUCUGAGUAAUAUAUAAUAGUUAAAACUUUCAACAACGGAUCUCUUGGUUCUGGCAUCGAUGAAGAACGCAGC